UGCCCAGCAAUUCCUAUCCCUACCUCCUGGUGGUACCGGUCGGAAACUAUGAGCAACCUUAGGGAAGAUCGGGUAACCAACCGCGGUGGGAACUUUGGUCGUAGGCUGACAAGGAAGG
rfam:Aedes albopictus isolate Foshan contig80945, whole genome shotgun sequence.